rnacentral:ncRNA from 1 species
CGAAAUCGGUAGACGCUACGGACUUAAUUGGAUUGAGCCUUGGUAUGGAAACUUACUAAGUGAUAACUUUCAAAUUCAGAGAAACCCUGGAAUUAAAAAUGGGCAAUCCUGAGCCAAAUCCUGUUUUCCGAAAACAAACAAAGUAAAGACAGAAUAAAAUAAAAAAGAAAAUAAAAAAAAAAAGAAAAUAAAAAAAAAAAAGGGGGGGGGGAUAGGUGCAGAGACUCAAUGGAAGCUGUUCUAAUAAAUGGAGUUGACUGCGUUGCAUUAGUAAAGUAAAGAAAUCCUUCCGUCAAAACUUCAGAAAAGAUAACCGUAUAUACAUACGCAUACGUACUGAAAUACUAUCUCAAAUGAUUAAGAUUAAUAGGGGCCCAAAUCCGUAUUUUUUUAUCUUUAUAUGAAAAAUGAAAUAAAAAAAAAAUUGUUUUGAAUUGAUUCCAAAUUGAAGAAAGGGUUGAAUAUUAAUUGAUCAAAUCAUUCAUUCCAAAGUCUGAUAGAUAACUGAUUAAUCGGACGAGAAUAAAGAUAGAGUCCCAUUCUACAUGUCAAUAUCGACAACAAGGAAAUUUAUAGUAAGAGGAAAAUCCGUCGACUUUAGAAAUCGUGAGGGUUCAAGUCCCUCUAUCCC